AUGUCAGCCACUCGGAAGGGACCUUAUAAAUGUGCCCGGCGAGGAUUUCUGUGCUGCGCCUCAGCAUUCUCCCUCUCUCCCUCUGCUUCCAUCCUCCCUGCUCAGCGUGCUCGCUCUCGCCCCCGCACCACUUCCCUUCGUGCAUCUCACCGGCGACCAUGGCCAAGGAGAAGACGGCGGCGCUGGAGCGUGCCAAGAAGGCGUCGGCAUCGGAGAAGGCGAAGGGGAGAUCCACCAGCCGCAGAGGGUCCUCGUCCAGAUCCCGCCUGCCGAAAGGCUGGGUCCAAGGAGACUGGAUCCAGUCGACCAUCACGGAGAAGGACCUCCUCGACAUGGCCGACGAGGGCUUGA
rnacentral:rRNA from 1 species